AAUGAACGCUGGCGGCAUGCCUUACACAUGCAAGUCGAACGGCAGCAUGACCUAGCUUGCUAGGUUGAUGGCGAGUGGCGAACGGGUGAGUAAUGCAUCGGAACGUGCCUUUUAGUGGGGGAUAACGUAGCGAAAGUUACGCUAAUACCGCAUAUUCUCUGAGGAGGAAAGCAGGGGACCUUCGGGCCUUGCGCUAGAAGAGCGGCCGAUGUCGGAUUAGCUAGUUGGUGAGGUAAAGGCUCACCAAGGCAACGAUCCGUAGCGGGUCUGAGAGGAUGAUCCGCCACACUGGGACUGAGACAAGGCCCAGACUCCUACGGGAGGCAGCAGUGGGGAAUUUUGGACAAAGGGCGCAAGCCUGAUCCAGCCAUGCCGCGUGAGUGAAGAAGGCCUUCGGGUUGUAAAGCUCUUUCGGCUGGGAAGAAAUCGCACCCUCUAAUACAGGGUGUGGAUGACGGUACCAGCAUAAGAAGCACCGGCUAACUACGUG
rnacentral:rRNA from 1 species